AUUGAACGCUGGCGGCAGGCCUAACACAUGCCAGUCGAACGGUAACAGGAAGCAGCUUGCUGCUUUGCUGACGAGUGGCGGACGGGUGAGUAAUGUCUGGGAAACUGCCCGAUGGAGGGGGAUAACUACUGGAAACGGUAGCUAAUACCGCAUAACGUCGCAAGACCAAAGAGGGGGACCUUAGGGCCUCUUGCCAUCGGAUGUGCCCAGAUGGGAUUAGCUAGUAGGUGGGGUAACGGCUCACCUAGGCGACGAUCCCUAGCCGGUCUGAGAGGAUGACCAGCCACACUGGAACUGAGACACGGUCCAGACUCCUACAGGAGGCAGCAGUGGGGAAUAUUGCACAAUGGGCGCAAGCCUGAUGCAGCCAUGCCGCGUGUAUGAAGAAGGCCUUCGGGUUGUAAAGUACUUUCAGCGGGGAGGAAGGGAGUAAAGUUAAUACCUUUGCUCAUUGACGUUACCCGCAGAAGAAGCACCGGCUAACUCCGUG
rnacentral:rRNA from 1 species